AGGGAAAAGCUCAAAUUUGAAAUCUGGCAGUUCUUGCGACUGUCCGAGUUGUAAUUUAGAGAAGUGUUACCCGCGCUGAACCGUAUAUAAGUCCUUUGGAAUGAGGCGUCAUAGAGGGUGAGAAUCCCGUCUAUUG
rnacentral:rRNA from 1 species